rnacentral:lncRNA from 1 species
AUUCAGGCAGUUGCUGAUGCCUCUAGUUGCUGUUGAUUACAAGAUAGUCUUUAACUUGUGCUGUUCUAUUAGAGGGCAAUAAAUCCGAAGUGCAGAGUAGAGUAACCCAACCUCUCUUGAACUUUGGAAUGUAGUGGGAAAUACCAUCAAGAUAAUAUUCUCAGCUCUAUAUACUUUCAAGAUUGGCUUGCCAGAGUAUCAGUCAAAUUCAGACAGCUGCCAGUCCUUCAGAUGUUGCUUAUGGAAUCAUGUGAGGGAAGAUUAGGGACACUGGUGGAAAGGGACCAGCAUCUCAGGGUUUCUGCCCAUGAGUCAGUGAAAUGAGGUCAUGUUUCAGAGUAACGGUGAUGCCUCUUGGUCUGUUCUGAGGGGAACUGGUUCAAUGAUUUGUGGAAGAGAAUGAAACCCAUUACUGCUAUAUCCGUGUUUAUGUCCAGCUCCACUGCAAGGUCAUUGUUCCAUUUGCCUGUGAAAGUCACGAAAACAACACGUCUGGCCUACCUCAGCGUUUAGCAAUGUGCUUGGUACUAACAAGAUAAUCAAUGCUUGUUGAAUUGAAUUUCACCUGCGCACUCCUUAAGAUGAAUACUUUUUGUGUCAUUUUGAAGCUCUCAAGAUUGUACAAUGUACAGUCUAUUUAGUGACAGCUUUCAAUUUUGCUAAAAGGAUUUGGGGAAGAGCACUCUAUUCAAUGUAUUCUUCAAUUGUGAGAUAAAUCC